UACGGAGGGGGCUAGCGUUAUUCGGAAUUACUGGGCGUAAAGAGUACGUAGGCGGUUUUUUAAGUCAGAUGUGAAAUCCCGGGGCUUAACCCCGGAACUGCAUUUGAAACUAUUAAACUUGAGUCCGAUAGGGGAUAGUAGAAUUCCUAGUGUAGAGGUGAAAUUCGUAGAUAUUAGGAGGAAUACCGAUGGCGAAGGCAGCUAUCUGGCUCGGCACUGACGCUGAGGUACGAAAGCGUGGGGAGCAAACAGG
rnacentral:rRNA from 1 species